GUUUCGAUUGUCAUCUUAGGACCGAUGGACUGAAAAUCCAUGUGUCGCCAGUUCAAUUCUGGCCCGAACCACCA
rnacentral:tRNA from 1 species